rnacentral:ncRNA from 1 species
AUUUCCUCUGGGCAAAUUUUACGAAAGUAAAAGACGCAAAGCCACGGGCCUAAAACAGCUUAAUUGUCAUGGCAGCCGGGUUGCACAA